rnacentral:rRNA from 1 species
AGAAUCAACGCUGGCGGCGUGCCUAACACAUGCAAGUCGCACGAGAAAGGGACUUCGGUCCUGAGUACAGUGGCGCACGGGUGAGUAACACGUGACUAAUCUACCUUUGAGUGGGGAAUAAACCUGGGGAAACCCGGGCGUAAUACCGCAUAAUACCUACGGGUCAAAGCAGCAAUGCGCUUAAAGAGGAGGUCGCGGUCGAUUAGUUAGUUGGCGGGGUAAUGGCCCACCAAGACGAUGAUCGAUA